GACGAACGCUGGCGGCGUGCCUAAUACAUGCAAGUAGAACGCUGAAGGAGGAGCUUGCUUCUCUGGAUGAGUUGCGAACGGGUGAGUAACGCGUAGGUAACCUGCCUGGUAGCGGGGGAUAACUAUUGGAAACGAUAGCUAAUACCGCAUAAGAGUAGAUGUUGCAUGACAUUUGCUUAAAAGGUGCAAUUGCAUCACUACCAGAUGGACCUGCGUUGUAUUAGCUAGUUGGUGGGGUAACGGCUCACCAAGGCGACGAUACAUAGCCGACCUGAGAGGGUGAUCGGCCACACUGGGACUGAGACACGGCCCAGACUCCUACGGGAGGCAGCAGUAGGGAAUCUUCGGCAAUGGACGGAAGUCUGACCGAGCAACGCCGCGUGAGUGAAGAAGGUUUUCGGAUCGUAAAGCUCUGUUGUAAGAGAAGAACGAGUGUGAGAGUGGAAAGUUCACAC
rnacentral:rRNA from 1 species